GCGUAAUCACUUGUUCUUUAAAUGAGGACUCGUAUGAACGGCUUCACGAAUGCUAUACUGUCUCCUUUAUCCAAUCAGUUAAACUAAUCUCCCCGUGAAGAAGCGGGGAUUCACCUAUAAGACGAGAAGACCCUAUGGAGCUUUAAACACUCUUAAACAUUUGAACCCUUUAUUAUUUACCUCCAGAAAACUUCACUAAACCCCCUCAUUUUGUUUAAACUUUUAGGUUGGGGCGACCACGGAGAAAAACCUAACCUCCACGUGGAAAGAAACUUAAUUCUAAGCAAAAAGCCACAUCUUUAUGCAUCAAUAAUAUUGACCUAAAUUGACCCAAUUAUUUGAUAAACGAACCAAGUUACCCUAGGGAUAACAGCGCAAUCCGCUUUAAGAGCUCCUAUCGACAAGCGGGCUUACGACCUCGAUGUUGGAUCAGGACAUCCCA
rnacentral:rRNA from 1 species